rnacentral:rRNA from 1 species
GAUGAACGCUGGCGGCGUGCCUAAUACAUGCAAGUCGAGCGAAUGGAUUAAGAGCUUGCUCUUAUGAAGUUAGCGGCGGACGGGCGAGCAACACGUGGGUAACCUGCCCAUAAGACUGGGAUAACUCCGGGAAACCGGGGCUAAUACCGGAUAACAUUUUGAACCGCAUGGUUCGAAAUUGAAAGGCGGCUUCGGCUGUCACUUAUGGAUGGACCCGCGUCGCAUUAGCUAGUUGGUGAGGUAACGGCUCGCCAAGGCAACGAUGCGUAGCCGACCUGAGAGGGUGAUCGGCCACACUGGGACUGAGACACGGCCCAGACUCCUACGGGAGGCAGCAGUAGGGAAUCUUCCGCAAUGGACGAAAGUCUGACGGAGCAACGCCGCGUGAGUGAUGAAGGCUUUCGGGUCGUAAAACUCUGUUGUUAGGGAAGAACAAGUGCUAGUUGAAUAAGCUGGCACCUUGACGGUACCUAACCAGAAAGCCACGGCUAACUACGUGCCAGCCGCCGCCGUAA